rnacentral:antisense_RNA from 1 species
CUUGGCAUCUUGCUUGCGCUCUUUAAUGGCGUUGCCAACGGCGUGCAGCAGGUGGGUUUUACCCAGACCAGUGCCGCCAUA